rnacentral:lncRNA from 1 species
GUUCUCUGCUUUAGUCGUAACCUAAUAUUUAGCAGCGCUAACUGCGUAGCCUUUCCCUCUCUGCUAACAGGACAGAUGUCAUCGCCCCAAAUAGUUUGAGUCAUCGUACGCCUCCACACACCCCUGAGUAACCCAAGGACAUCAGCGUGUGGAGAGGGCUGUGAUUCUAAAUCUCAAGAUGUCGUGGCAACUUUAGUGUUCGAUGUCUCUCUCGGGGGACACGAGGAGGAAAAGAGAGAUUUAACAGCCUGGAAGAAAUGUGGCGUUCCUCUAAAAGUCCAUUGGAAGCGGAUGGCGCUGGUUUCACAGCACGCGGAGAAAAAAAAAAAAAAAAAAAAAAAAGAAAAGACAGUGAGUGAAAAGUUGUUUGCUUUCUCACUUGUGAUAAAGUUGCUGAAUAUUUGUUUUCUUAAUUAAUGAGACGAGCUUUGUGUUUUUCCUUUUUUUUGUUGUUUUGUUGUUUUGUCAGAUGAAGAAGAGGAGGAGGAAGAGGAGGUGGAGGACAGGUGGGAGCGGGGGCGUUCUCUGAGCGACACAUCACAGAACGUAUGAUCACAUAAUGGAUGUAUGGGGGGGGCUGAGUACCUGCAGGGGGGCCAGCGUCCGAGUGAGAGCGAAACAACAACAACAUCAGAGAAAAAGGAGAAGGAUUGUCCACCACAUGACAGCAGAAAAGUCAGAUGGAGACGCGUAAAAGAUCAGCCUGGAUUUAAAAGAUGGAAAGAGAGACUUUCCUCUUCUUCUAUAAAGAUGGAAAGAAGCAGACAUAGUGAUGGAGUGAUGGAGGGGCAGCACCAGCCAAGCUCUGCUUAUCCUCCUCCUCCUCCUCCUCCUCCUCCUCCUCACAUACACAGUGUGCAUUAAUGUGCGUUAGUGCCAUUGUUCCGUUUGUGUAUUUAUUGCAUAUUUAGUGGUUCUGCAGCCGAUUCCAAAAAGGCUCAAACUAAAAGUAGCGAAAAGAAAAGAAAGAGUAAAAGAAGAAGAGCAUGUUUGAUAGGAGUUGUUACCCCAGAACGAACAAGGAUAAAGUUUCACAUUAAACAGAUUUAUUUUCUUAAAGCACGCUGAUAAUCCCUUCAGUUCUAAUCCUUAGCCACUCCUUCCUUCACUGAUGAACCCUGGCUUUCACUCUGGUUUCCUUCUUUAGAGACUUUAGAGAAUCAAAGUAUCUAUUUAUGAAAAGUGUCGAAUGAAUGAAUGAAUGAAUGAAUGAAUGAAUGAAUGAAUGAAUGAAUGAAUGAAGUGUUCUGAUUUCACUAGGAUUCCUGGACAGUGACACAGGUAAAAGUAAUGCAUUACAAACACUCACAUUGUUGUAAUUUUUUUUUUAUUUUUUAUUAUUAUUUGUAAUAUUUCUCAAGUCUCUGUGACAUAAGUAAUCACCCCCUGGGGCAAUAAAGUAUUUCUGAUUCUUAUUUUCUACA